rnacentral:lncRNA from 1 species
GUGGUCCAAUAGUGAAGGCAAAAAAGUUGUGAUGAUAUGAGGAAUAAUAAUAACAUGGCAAAUAGGGUGUUGAGGGAACAGAGAAUGAGACUUUGGAAAAGAAAAUGGUGAGUGGUUUCUUUUUAAGUCACAGAUUCAAAGGUUGGAACGUUGAAGAGGGUGGUGUUGGUUGCAGAAAGAUGAAGCCAUGUGUUGUUGUAAGGUU